rnacentral:rRNA from 1 species
AUUGAACGCUGGCGGUAGGCCUAACACAUGCAAGUCGAACGGCAGCACAGUAAGAGUUUGCUCUUAGGUGUGGCGUGUCGGGGGCGGGUGUGGUGUACGUGAGACUCUACGUUGUAGUGGGGGAUCAACUAGGGAAGGUUACGAUAAUACCGCAUAGUACCUACGGGUGAGAGCAGGGGAUCUUCGGACCUUGCGCUAUUGAAUGCGCCGAUGUGGGAUUAGCUAGUUGGGGGGGUCGAGGCCCACCAAGGCCACGAUCCGUAGCUGGUCUGAGAGGAAGAUCCGGCAAAAUGGAACUGAGACAAGGGCCAGACCCCCAAGGGGAGCAGCAGUGGGGAAUAAUGGACAAAGGGCGCAAGCCUGAUCCAGCCAUACCGCGUGGGUGAAGGAGGCCUUCGGGGUGGAAAGCCCUUUUGUGGGGAAAGAAAAGCAGUAGGUUAAUACCCCGCUCUCAUGACGGUACCCAAAGAAUAAGCAACGGGUAACUUCGUG